AGUCCUAAUAAUAGUCCAAAGUAUAGUGCACUAUACAAUUCAUAAGUAAAUGGAUGGAUCUCACCAAAAAAUUCGUCAACUUGGUAGUAUAUUCAGUAGGAGGGUGGUAAAUCUUGUAGAUGAUAUAUCUUGAAUGAGGGUGAAAAUGAGUUAUAGCUCGAUGAGAAGGUAAUCACUUAUCCAUUCUGUGGAAUCUGGUCAGUCUGACAGGUCUUAAUCGUGGGCAAUCCUGUAAUCGGGCUGAAAAUGGGCUGCGCGCUCGGGACGUUCCUGUCCCUUCGAAGGCCCCUGUUCCUCUCCGUCC